UGCAAUAUCCUGUAUUCCUGUCAAACCACGGUUAUAAAACAAUACCAGAACCACAAAAUAGAGACUAUUUCGGAACGAUUGUGUCUUUAUUCUGUGCCAGAACCAUCCAGACCAAUACUGAUAUUAUUUCCACAUUCCUGUCGUGUAUAUUCGCAAGGAUUUUGAGAAGAAACAAGAUCGAAGAACAGUGUAAAAUUACAAAAACGGUGAAGAUUUAUAAUCUGUUGUUAAAGACAGUGUAGGUAAGAAAGCGAGCUUUGUCGACUAUGCUGAACGAAGCAUGACCGAUUUGUAUUUGUAAUAUUAACCUUUUUAAUUAAACUGUUACUACAGGUCAAGUUAUUUCGUUCAUUGCAUUACAUAUUACUAUGAUUGCUUUUUCGUUGUGAAAUAUUAAAGAUGGUUGAUGAGAGUUAAAAAAUCAUGUUUGACGACUCUCGAGUCUCAAUAUCGUCAACUCUCAUCGACUUCGAGUUGGUUAAAAUUUUGAUGAGAGUUUUUGCAUUUUUGGCUGGUAGUGUCCAGUCAACUCUCAUACCAGGCCACAGGCUGAGUGAGGCAUGAGAGAGGUGAAACUCUCAUACAAAUCUCACUUCUCAACUUUCAUCAACUAUUAUUGUCAUUUGAGCAGGGCUUAAAAAAAAUUGUUUAGGCAAAGAGAUGGUUGUGGCAGGGUGGACGGUUAUUAUUUUCAAAUUUUAUUUUUAUGUUCCUUCAUCCUCACCAAGGGUGAGUGACAGGCUGGGAUUUCCCUAAAAUCUCUCUGGACACAGCAAUGAAGUCACAAGUUGCUCCAAUUCUACGGCAUAUUUCAUGUAUUAUGCCAUAUGCAUUGUGGUUGAGAGCCUGUGGCAGAAGUUUACUUUUCUGCAUUUUGUCUGGGUUUAGAGUGUUAAAUGUUUAUCAUGGUUACACAUAAACUGGGAAAUGUUUGCUUGAAGGUCCAAGUAAAAACAUCUACAGAAAGAAAAAUCAUUUACAUCAGCAUUCCUUCACAAUAUAAAUUCCAUAUAGUUUUCACAUCAGGAUUCCUGCGAUAUUUUACAAAUUGAAUAAAGAAAGUUUUCAAAAUUAAUUUACAAAUCUAAUAAUACCAAUCUAUGCUAUGACAAAAAAACUACCUUCGUUGUCCACAGUGAUCCAUGACAUCCUUGUUUUGAACUACAGCAAUUGAUAUGAGUGCUACGAUAAAAAUCCAGCCCUGGUGUGGAAGCAUACCUACGGUGGCAGCUUAUUGCUGCAUCGUUUUCACACCUAUUAGUCCAAGCUACUGUCAUUGCUAGUUCUCACUGCUAGUUCACGUUGAUCUCAUAGAAAAUAAACCAUAACAAUUCCAAGAGAACCAAUGGUUUGCAGUUUGGAAUGGCAUGUCAAGUGCACUCCCCAGGAGUGCAAUUAAUGAUUUGAAAAAUAAAAUGGUGGCUUUUUUUUGUAAAAUAAUUGCAAACAAGUCUACAAUUCAAAAACAAAAGCAGAAAAUGAAAAUAUACAAAAAAGCACUGACCUAAAACUUUCUUGCUUAACUUUUAAUAUUUUGAACUUGAUCAAUUGUUUGUUGAUGAAUCAAGAACUUGCGAUUCAUUUUAUAUCAUGGCUACGCUUUGACAUUUUUAAUAAAUAUUUGAAUUUCACAUAAAUUUUAUUUUAAACCAUUUGUUGUUACAGUAACCCUUUAAGUGGCAAUACACCCAGAUAUGCCCUACUUUAUUAUUUUACUCUACGCCAGAUUUUUCUCAUCAGGGGGAAGUCAAUGGACUUGCGGUCACUCAAUGGGUUAAUCAGAUUAUCUGCCUAUGCACCCUGUUAACCCGUUAAGUGGCAAUGCCCCCAGAUGCAACGUAUUUUAUUUUUUUACUCUGUCUAACACCAUAAUAUAUAUGUCAUAAUAUAUAUGUGUUCUCUGCAUUCACACAGGGUUGUGCUGUUUUGGACCUGUUAAAUAUUAUGUAAGGAUUUUCUUCGUGUAAAAUUUAAACUUUUCAUUCGAAUUUAAGUUGUUGAAUUUCUUAUGGUCAGAUAACUUAUAAUAGACCAAAUUAAGAUAUGAUGAAGUUUAUAUUUAAAACUUCAAUUGUGUUAUAAUUAUACUGUGCGCAUCUUGGCAUCAACAGAAUUGACAGUUCCAAUUGAAGUUUAGAGCUCAGUAAGCUGAAAUUUGAUCGUUGCUUAAUAUAUUGAGUGAGCAAUGUGUUGCAGGGAGGCAAGUAUUCAUUGGGUCUUGUGGGAGUGUUGAUCGGCCAGAAAUCGCAUUUAACCAGUCACAAUUGGAACUUACCAGUCACCAUGUUCGUCAUAACAUGGAACGUUAUUUUGAGCAUAAAAGGGUGUGUGGAGGGGGGGGGGAGGUGAUAGCUAUUAUUUUGUCAUGUAUAUAAUUAUAUAUAUAUAUAUAUAUAUAUAUAUAUAUAUAUAUAUAUAUAUAUAUAUAUAUAUAUAUAUAUAUAUAUAUAUAUAUAUAUUUUUGAGUCGCGGGUUUGAAUCCCAGCUGCGGUCAAGUAGAAUUUUCUGCUUGCCCGGUUUGGUAUACACCCGUCUGAAAACAACUCAAAAACCGCUACAUAACGUAACACGAGUGGAAUCGUCAACGUGGGAAACCACAACAUUCAUAUAUAUAUAUCGAGGUCGCGGGUUCGAAUCCCAGCCGCGGUCAAGUAGAAUUUUCUGCUUGCUGGUUUGGUAUACACUCGUCUGAAAACAACUAAAAAACCGCUACAUAACGUAACACACAACAUAUAUAUAUAUAUAUAUAUAUAUAUAUAUAUAUAUAUAUAUAUAUAUAUAUAUAUAUAUAUAUAUAUAUAUAUAUAUAUAUAUAUAUAUAUAUAUAUAUAUAUAUAUAUAUAUAUAUAUAUAUAUAUGUUUGCCUGAGUUUUUGACGGUUUUGUUUUGUUUGCUUGCAUGCGCAAUCAGGUCAACCUUGUACCCUGGGCUUCUGUGAUGUAGAGCCACAAGUUCACAAGCCUUAAUUGGGUAUGGUACUGGGGUGAUCACAGAUUCAAAACUGCAUGAGAGCGCUUACAUGCAAAGCAGGUGCUUACUGUAAGUGAGUUCUCUAGAUUUGCUUAAAAUUUAGUAAAAUUUACUUGGUACCAUGUUUGAAGAGCAAGGGAAAUAAUAGGAUCUGGUGGUAGAUUUGUAUAACCACUUCCUUACUGUAUAAAUAGAGGCUGUCAACAAAUGUAUUUUGUGAAAUUAGCUGCUCUAAAGGCCUUCACCGCUCCCAUAUACCUGUAGGUCAGAAUUUAACCCGUUAAGUUGUAUUUAGUAUUUUAGUCUUUCUGAUAUUAAACAAUUUUACUUCUCAAGUGGAGAGUGCCCAAUGGGUUAAUCAUGCAUACUACUCAUACCUGAAUAGAUCAAUUAAAAAUACAAGUAUUUCCAUCACCCAAACACAAAGGCCUCAAUUGGUAAUUUGGUAAGGUUGGUUCAUGCGAUAUGAUGUCAUCACGUUUGACCAUAAAGAUACAGUUUGCAAUAUAUAUUUGUUUGUUAUCAUGCAGUGCAGACAUAUUAAAUUUAACAACCUAAAAUAAAAUGCCGUAUAUUUAUGGUACCGUAUGCACAGUAAAGCACUGGAAUUUAGUUUUCAAUUUUUUUACUAUGGAAAUAGUAUCGAUCUUCAUUGAAAAUAAUAUGGAAAUCCAAUUUUCAUACUAAAUGCAAUUUCCAUACUAUGGAUAUAGUAUGAAAAUAGUAUGGAUAUACUAUGGAUUUAGUGAUGCAAUUGCAAGUUCCAUAGAAUGGAUUUUACUAUCUUUCCGAGUGAAGGGUGAGGUACAGUAAUCUGACAGGAAAAUCGUGAAGUAAAGAAAGACAUAGUAAAGUCAUUUAUGAGUCAUUGAGACUGCACACAGUCAAGUACUUUUUCUAAGGUUAAGGUUAAAGGAUAUUGAGAUGGAUAGGGAUUCAACCACCUGAAAAAUACAAGUAAAACUUCGACGUGUCGAGCAAAGGCACAAAUCGUUCGAGGUUACAGGAUACCCUGGGCAUUACUCGUCGAAUUUCUAUAAAAUUUUCGCCGAAUGUAGCCAGAUAGAUGAAGAAUAACAUAGUGUUAUAAAACUGACUUUAAUGGCAACAGUUUUCCCGCCAAGCAUAUACAGACUUCGGAAAGCGUUUUAUAUUUAAUAUGAAUUUUUUCCUGACGGCAGAAUCGGACAGAUACAUUUCUAAGUUAUUAGAAUAUGUAAAAAAUUUAAGUUCUGGGGUAUCCUAGGAUAAGUGCAUGACUUGUAUAUUUGGAAAUUUGAUGCAAACGUUUCAAUUUUAUAAUUAUUGAAGUUUACCAAAUCACCACAUAUACUGUAAUAAUAACAAUUAAUCGCCUCGGGCUCAGAGAUUACCGGUGAAUAUUCACCGAGACGAAGUCGAGGUGAAUAUUCACCGUAAUCACUGAGCCUGAGGCGAAUAAUUGUUUUAGUAUAAAUUUUUAAUGAAUAAAACAAAAUAUCGAAGUAGCAGUUCAAUUAGAAUUCAGAAAUAAAACUGUUCUCGGCCGGUUCACGGUUUACUGUUUUAGCGUUGCAGUUUUUCUUCUACGGGCACGCUUUCAAAAAUGGCUUCCUGUGUGACUUUAUUGCUUUAGUACUCCAACUCAUUCGUCGAACUAUACAUACUGGAUCUAUUGAUAACCCGAUCCACAACUGACAUUAACAUCCUUUAAAUUGAGAUUACUCUAUAUCUAUCCAUGAUCACUGUUUUGUUGAAUGUAAACUAUCUAUUCCCCGUCCAAUGCACCCUGAAAAAGGAAUCUUAUUGUGAGAUGAAAAGGAUUAACUUCGACGACUUUAAGGCCGAUCUAAGUUGCGUGAAUUAUCUUUGUGAAAACGUUGUAAAUCUUGAUGAGUUGAUGAAUUGACGUAGUGUUAUGAUAAUGAACUUUCACGUAUCUUAAACAACCACGCCCCUGUCCGAAGAAAGAUACUGAAAGUUAAGCGAUCAACUCCUUGGUAUAAUGCUGAACUAAGAUAAUUGAAAGUAAAGCGUAGGAGUCUAGAGAGAAAGAUGAGGAAAACAAAACUAGAAGCGGAUUGGAUUGCCUAUCGAAAGAUAUGUAACAGGUAUUGUCAUUUAGUGCAUGAUUAAAGCUCGAACUGUUUAUUAUGCUACCCUCAUUAAAGAUAACUCUAAUGACCCAAAGAAACUUUACAGAAUUGUGAAUUCCCUUUGUGAUGCACCCCAGGAAGAUCCUUUACCUCCACAUAACGAUCUUGGUCAACUUGCUGACACGUUCGAUUAAUACUUUUUUCGCAAAAUUGUAUUGAUUAGAGAAAAUGUGGAUCUUACUGUUGUUGAGCCCCCGUUGGUAGAAUACCGGAAUCCCGAAGUCAAACUGGAAUCUUUUGAGUCUCUAUCUUUCCAGGAUAUUCAUGAUGUUGUUAUGCAAUUGUUCAGUGCCAGUUGCAAACUUGAUCCGAUUCCAUCAUGGCUUGUCAAACUCUGUUCGAUUCAACUUGUACCCUCUAUUACUAAAAUUGUAAAUUUCUCUUUGCAAGAGGGUCGAGUCCCGGAUCACUGGAAAGUUGCUCUGCUGAAGCCCAUUUUGGAAAAGCUUAGUAUGGAGCCGUUAUUCGAGAAUUUUAGGCCAGUGUCCUAUUUGCUAUUUCUCUCAAAGAUCACUGAGAAGGCGAUUGCUAACCAAUUGCUGCGCCAUUGUGAAAAAAAUUCACCACUUCCAAUCUGCCAAUGUGGCUUCAGGAAAUAUCACUCGACUGAGACAGCUCUUUUAAAGGUGCAAAAUGAUAUUCUUCUGAGUAUGGACAGGCAAGAAGUUUGUUUCCUUGUGCUCUUGGAUUUAAGCUCUGCGUUUGAUACAAUUGAUCAGAAAACUAUUGUUAACGUACUGGAGUAUCAAUUUGGAGUGACGGACAAAGCUCUUGAAUGGGUAAAGUCAUUUCUGUCUAACAGAAAACAAAGAGUUGAUCUAGAUAACGACUUUUCUGAAGUCUGCGAUGUUAAAUACGGGUUUCUCAAGGGAGCUGUCUUGACCCUAUACUUUUUUUGCUAUUCCAAUUAUAUGACAUUAUAGACAGAUUUUUGCCUUCUUCUCAUGGAUAUGCUGACGACACACAACUUUACGUGCAUUUUUGUCCGAACUAAUCAAGAGAGUACUUUGUCUGCACUGGAAGAAUGUAUCUCUGGUGUUCGUGCUUGGCUGGUGUCUAACAAACUAAUGUUUAAAGAUUCGAAAACAUAAUUUCUUGUAAUUGGUACACCUCAACAACUUUCGAAAAUUGAAAUUGAACCCGUAAAUGACCGACGACAUUUCAGUCUUCAGGAAACGUUUGAAAACAUUCCUUUUUAGUAAGGCUUUUAACCUUUUAUAGUCUAAGACCACGUAUGUUAUCCUUCUUAUCGUAGAUAUACUCACUAGUCUAUAUUUUAACGUCAGUUAUUAUCUUAUAUUUACUAGAUGUAUUUUUAGCUUUUUACAAUGUACAGCGCUUUGAGUAUUUUACAUAAACUAUGUGCGCUCUAUUGAAAUGAAUAAAUUAUUAUAUUAUUUAUUACAAAGUUGUUUUUCUCGAUUUCUGUUUAGAAUAUAAGCACAAUGAAAUUCUGAUAGAAAGAUCAGCAUGCAAGAGAUGCAUUAAAGUUAACCCGAAAUUCAGGCCCUAAUAUAAAUAGAACCUGUCUAAAGCAUGGGAUUCCCGUCCAUCUGGUGGACGGGAAAUCUGAUUGGUUGAUCAGCAUCAUGAAAGAUUUUGAUUGAUUGCAAGUUCACAUGAACUAUAUUUUAUAGAUAGCCCGGUCAAUGUGACCACAGUGUCAAGGUCAAACGCAUGUAUCAAAUUCCAUUGUGAUUAUCGUAAUAGUAUUAUCGAAUUUCUUUUGUUUUAUGCUUUAUGGCAGAAAAUAAAUAAAACAAACAGUAUUUUGAAAGGGCUUUAUCAAAAUCUUUGACGAAGUUUGGCCACACGACUCUGAAAGAACAGCAAAAGUCAUGUAUUCGAAAGCUUGCUGACAGCCAAGGCGGCAAGGCCCAAGAUGUCUUUGCUGUUCUGCCAACUGGCUUCAGCAAAAGUCUUAUUUAUCAGGUCCUACCGGCGUUGGUUUCUAAAUUAGGCCAAUGGAACUGUAGAUUCUGUUUACCGUCCACCGCCCGUAUGUGCUCGAAACUACCGCAAGAUAUUUUCAUUAUUCUUAAUUAUUUUCAUUAUUUGUCAUUAUUUUUAAUUCUACGCAUCGAAACUUUCAAAUAUACAUCAAAUCAUCAAACUUUCGAUAUAAAAAGCCGUACAUUGCUGAUGUAUGAUGGAUCGCUCUUCAUUUGUUCGGUACACUCGGAAAUUCGCGAGUCUGACAUGUGCAAAUUCGAAAACAAUGGCGUAACAAAGAAAUUUUCAGCAAAGGAAAGCCCAAAAAUGAUAAAAGAAUGCUGCACAAAAGUGUUGAUGGUCGAAAUCAAAAGAAAACGAUCUAAGGAUCAUUUUUGGUCGGAAAAUAGAUAAUAACAAAAAUAAUGAAAAAUAAAUAAUGAAAAAAACCCGCAUCAGAUUUUUAAAAUUCUCGCACGGUAAACAGAAUCUACAGUUCCAUUGGCCUUACAUCGCCUUCGUCAUGGUACGAUAAAGAAUUUCGUUGUUGCUGUUGUUAGCCCGUUAGAAUAUAUCCGCGUCCAGCAAGUUGCGACCUUGAGAAAGCUUGGCAUUCAAGCCGUUUGUUUAGAUCCCUCGUUUGAUGAUGAAACAAAAUUAAUGACUUUAGCGUAUUUUCUUGACGCACGUUAAUUCCAAUUGCGGAAAGUAGAUCGCAGAAAACAAAACUAUUUGCAUUCAGUCAGUCAGUUGAGAUGUAUUAAAAAAACAACGUGCAACCGGAACCGUGCAUAUAAUUUAUGAACAUUAUCGCACUUAAACACCGUAGGAGAAAUUGGCGAUAAUAUUUUUCAUGGGGGAUUUUUUUCGAGAUAUAUCUGGGAUUAUACUGUGAAAAGGGAUUACAAUCCCUGCAUUUCUUCCUUAGUCUACUCAAGAAAUAUUGCCGAGUAUUAAAACACAGAUAUUGCCCAACUGUUGAUAAUUUUUGUAACUUCUCCACUCAACUUUGACUUCAAAAUCUUCCUGACUGUACUUAAUAUAUUCCUUGAUAAUUUUGCUUUUCAUCACUUCUCUUGAUGCCACCUGUUUCUAUAGACGACCCAUUCAUUUAUUUUAUUUUUUCAUCAUUUAGCAGCUUUAUUCCAUCCGAUCAUACUAACAUACCUUUCUUCCUAUACUACAUUACAUUAUCAUUCAGCUCACUCGCCAUUGGAGCUUUUCAGUAACCGAUUACAUCAAGUAUUACGCUCAUGUUACUUACUUAGCCUAUGUAGGCAACAACUUGUUGCAAGUUGAUAUCGACAGGCGCGAACAAGGUUGUGCGGCCGACUAUGAACAGCAUUGCCAACAUGUUGUUACAACAUUGAUCAACUAUAACAACUUGGAACAACAUGGUUGACAACUUGUUCAUAGUUGGCCGCACAACAUUGUUCACGCCUGUCGAUAUCAACUUGCAACAACCUGUGCGUUUUUAGCCGUGUAGACAACACGGCUAAGAAAGAUCAGGGUGUUGCAAUAUUGAUGAAAGCAGGAUUGAACAAUGUUGUGUUGCCCACAUUGUUCACAGUUGUCAACAAUAUUGAAUAAUAUUGUUACACCGUAUAGCAUGCAGUGAAAGAUUGAUUUCCCCCCGCUAUCUGGGUUUUGUCUUCCGUAAAAUAUGAAUCAGUGGAAUCAUUGGACACACGAAAAACAAAGGUAACAAAGAAUCCCCUUGAAUAUUCCCUCACUUAAGCAGACUAGAUGGGUGUUCUCCUUGGCCAGUAGAGCAAGGAUUAGGAUUAGGGAUAUAGGUAGAUAGUGGUUACAUUUGGAUUAGAAUUGUAUUUAUAUUGACUCGAAUUUAUUGAUUUCAGGUCCUCGGGGCACGUCCAUAUUGGAAUAUGAAGUGAAGGAUGCAUGACAUCUGCAGUGAAAAACAGUCACAAGAAAGCUUGUUUUGUCUUUAACAAAAGAUAUGUCGCAGUCAGGAAAUAGUGACAAAAUAUACGAAUGUCAGACCUGUGGAAAAGCGUUUAAACGUCGAACAUACCUGCAGUUGCACGAGAAAAUACAUGGUGAAAAAUGUUACAAAUGUAAUAUCUGCGAC
rnacentral:lncRNA from 1 species